rnacentral:pre_miRNA from 1 species
AAAGUACUCCCUUCGUUCCAAAAUUCUUGUCUUAGAUUUUUCUAGAUACAGAUGUAUCAAGUCACAUUUUAGUAUUAGAUACAUCCGUAUCUAGACAAAUCUAAGACAAGAAAUUUGGGACAAAGGGAGUAGUUG